rnacentral:lncRNA from 1 species
AUGAGAGUUUCAUUGUAAAACAGAAAUGCCUGUGGAGUUGAAAAGACAGUUGAGUAAAUCUUCAAAAUAAAAAAAUAGCAGAGUAGAGACCAGUAGCAAAAUACAUCCUCUCUAGAUCCUGGAAUCAAGAUAUCUAGAAAAUAUCAAUUUAAUAAAGAGGGAAAAAAUAAAGAAGUAUAUCUCUGAGAAUUGAUAGGAAGCUGAUAAGAAAACUAAAACUACACAGAAGCUGGAGAAAUGGAGCACAACACAAAGAAAAGAAUGAAGUCUGGAAAGCUCACCCCAGCUCCCAGGAAGGGGGACCUGUCUCUGCUGACACAAGAUGCUGAAUAGCUCCAGUUGACUCCAGCCAUUCGUGCAUCUGGUUAUGUCAGGAGCCACCGAAAGAGGUGCACAAAACAGCUUUUGAAAAGGUAUCUGUAUAGAGGAAACUCAUCAGAAAGCAUUAGAGCACAAAGGCC